CAGUAGCUCAGUCUGGUUAGAGCAGUGGAUUGCAAAUCCGCGUGUCACCGGUUCAAAUCCGGUCUGG
rnacentral:tRNA from 1 species